AUGUUCAACCUCCUCAAGAAAGGAACUCCAUUUGUCUGGACGCAAGCGACUGAGGAGUCAUUCCAACUGCUGAAACAAGGCCUUGUUACUGCUCUUGUACUUGCCCUACCGGACUUCUCAAAGCCUUUUGUCGUCGAAACAGAUGCAUGCGAUGCUGGCGUCGGGGCAAUCCUGCAGCAACAGGGGCACCCAAUUGCCUAUAUGAGCAAAGCACUGUCACCAAAGUAUCGGGGGUUGUCCACCUAUGAAAAGGAAUAUCUGGCCGUGGUAGUGGCUGUGGACCAAUGGCGCCCAUAUCUCCAACACAGCGAAUUGGUCAUACAGACUGAUCAGAAGAGCCUGGUGCAUUUAGAAGAACAAAGACUCACGACCCCCUGGCAGCAAAAAGCAUUUACCAAGCUUCUCGGUCUUCGCUACACCAUCAAGUACAGGAAAGGGACAGAAAAUGGGGGUGCGGAUGCUCUUUCCCGUGCCACCCACGCUGAGCAAUUGCAAGCCAUAUCAUCUUGUCAGCCUAGUUGGAUGGAAGACAUCAUUGCCAGCUACAAUUCAAACCCACAAGCCCAGAAACUGCUGGAACAGUUAGCCAUUAGAGCAGAUCCAAAAGGACGGUUCACUCUCGAGCAAGGCAUCUUACGAUUCAGAGGACGCAUCUGGCUAGGAGGCAGCACAGCAAUGCAGCAACCGAUUAUCAAGGCGUUUCAUGAUACCCCUCCUGGAGGCCACUCGGGCUUUCCAGUAACAUGGCGCCGGGUAUGCCGUCUCUUUGCUUGGGCCAAAAUGAAAACACACAUUCAACACUAUGUGCGUUGCUGCCGUACAUGCCAACAGGCCAAGCCAGACCGAGCCGCUUACCCUGGGCUACUCGAACCUUUACCGGUGCCCAAGGAAUCCUGGGAGAUGAUCACAAUGGAUUUCAUCGACGGACUCCCAACUUCUGGAGGUGUGAACUGCAUUUUGGUAAUCGUCGACAAGCUGACAAAAUUUGCUCACUUUCUGCCCCUAGCAAACCCUUAUACAGCCUCCAAAGUAGCACUGCUCUACAUGAACCAAGUCUACAGGCUACAUGGAUUCCCGGGGUCGCUUGUGUCUGACCGUGAUCCGGUGUUCACAAGUCAUUUUUGGCAAGAGCUCUUCAAGUAUGCAGGCACGGGUCUCAGAAUGAGUUCAGCCAACCACCCACAGACGGAUGGCCAGACGGAGAGGGUCAAUCAGUGCCUGGAAACCUUCCUCCGCUGCUUCACGCAGGCGUGUCCCCGUCGAUGGAGCUACUGGAUUCCACUUGCACAAUUCUGGUACAACUCUUCCCAUCAUUUUGCCAUUGGGAUGUCACCAUUUCGUGCCAUGUAUGGGCAUGAACCACGACAAUGGGGGAUUACUACUACGACAGCUUGUUCAGUACCGGCCCUUCGUUCCUGGCUGGAUGAACGCGUCGUUGUGCAAGACCUGCUCCAACAGCAUCUACACCGAGCGAGACAGUGCAUGAAGCAACAAGCUGACAAAAAACGAUCAUUCCGGGCCUUUGAGGUGGGCGACUCAGUUUAUCUCAAGCUACAACCUUAUAUCCAAACUUCAGUGGCUUCCCGCGCCUGUCACAAGCUGGCCUUCCGCUUCUUUGGGCCCUUCAAGAUUAUUGGGCGGAUCAACGAAGUGGCCUACAGGCUUCAGCUACCACCUCAUGCGCAAGUGCACCCUGUCUUGAGCUUCCAACUUAUUCUGACAUACCUUCAGUGCCAGUGGCAGUCCUUGAGCGUCGCUGGUGCAAACGGCGCGGGGCUAUGGUGGAACAAGUGCUUGUCCGGUGGUCCAACCCAGCAGCAGUGGCUGAUUCAUGGGAGGACAAAGUGGCUCUACAAGCUC
rnacentral:rRNA from 1 species